UUUUUUAAAUAUAUUAUUUUGCUAUUACUUAUUACCUGUACCUCUUUUAUAUUUUAUGUUGCUAUCUUCCAAUUAGUUUUCUAUUAUUUGUCUUGCUAUUACUUGCUAUCAUGGCUACUUUCACCUUCUUUUGAUAAGAAUGGACCUUGGGCCUAACUCAACCCCAAAAGCUAGCUUAUGAGGUGAGGAUUGUCCAAGCCAUAUAAGACCAAGGACCUCAAAUCCCUCCGAUGUGGGACAACUCAACAUCUUUAGAUGAGGAUAUAUCAGAAACAGUCUCUUUGUCCUUUCAGGAUAGGAAUAAGGCUGCAUAUAUUGUACCGUCCCCCGACCUCAC
rnacentral:lncRNA from 1 species